GUACUCUCUUCUGCAGUGCAUAUACAAAAUUUGGAACAUACAGAGAUUAGCAUGGCCCCUGUGCAAGGAUGAUCGGAUGGUUUGGAUGUUUUGUCCCUUCCA